AGGAUUAACGCUGGCGGCGUGCCUAACACAUGCAAGUCGAACGAGGUAGCAAUACCUAGUGGCAGACGGGUGAGUAGCGCGUGGUCAACCUACCGUUGAGUGGGGGAUAACUAGCCGAAAGGUUAGCUAAUACCGCAUACGUCUCCGAGGGGCAUCCCUUGGCGAUAAAAGGAGCAAUCCGCUCGAUGACGGGACCGCGUCCCAUUAGCUAGUUGGUGGGGUAACGGCCUACCAAGGCAUCGAUGGGUAGCUGGUUUGAGAGAGCGACCAGCCACACUGGGACUGAGAUACGGCCCAGACUCCUACGGGAGGCAGCAGUGAGGAAUUUUCCGCAAUGGGCGAAAGCCUGACGGAGCGACGCCGCGUGUGGGAAGAAGGCCUUGGGUCGUAAACCACUGUCGAAGGGAGAUAAUGACGGUACCUUGGAGGAAGCCCGGCUAACUACGCGCCAGCAGCCGC
rnacentral:rRNA from 1 species